rnacentral:tRNA from 1 species
GUCCCUGUAGCGCAAUGGAUAGCACGUUGGACUUCUCAUCUAAAGGUCGAGGGUUUGAAUCCCUUCAGGGAUG